rnacentral:rRNA from 1 species
AUGUCACUUUAUGAUUUCUGUCGGAUUUGUUUAGUCCCUUUUGGGGGCAAGACAGAAGAACCACAUCGUGAUGAUGUGGAGGGAUUUACUGACACUAUCACUGUAGGGGAAACAAGGAAGGUUUCCGAUGCACGAAUCACUAGCAUACAUUUUCCUGUUUUACGCUACUUUGCAUUAUUUGCUAGUCGUUGCUUAAUUGGUCGCGGAAACUGUGGAAACCUGAGUAUCCCUGAUAUUAUUAUUUUGCACCACGGCUUAUACGGUGAUAACUCUUUUAGUAUGGGCGGCAUUAUUGCUAGACGGGUAAGUAUGAACCGUACUAAGGGUCCCAUCUUUGGAGGCAUCUAUGCUACACGCCUAGCUGCACAUUUUAACAUACCUAUUAGGCAUGCUGAGAAGGAAGAAAAAGUGCUGCCUCGUGUUUAUCUAGAUUAUAAAAUUAUGGUGGCACAUGAUUUUAUUAUUAAGAAUAGGGUAGGAGAGCUUAAAUAUCAAUUGUUCUUUAAUAAACAUCAUCCUGAGACUAUUACCUUGCCUGCUCCUUCUUUGUUUGAUUUGACUAUAGGCACGUACCUUGUUCCGUUGACGGCUAUUCACGCCUACUGGAACCCUGCACCAGCCGAGGAGCCAGAACCGGAACCACAAUUUGAUCCUUCACAACAGUCUAACUAUCAGUGGGAUCCGGAGAUGAUUGCCAGCCAGUGGCAAUCGGAGCCUUCUUCUUCCUCAUCGCAGUAUGACCCCAACUAUUAUUAUGGAUAUCAGCCAGGCCAGCCGUGGCCAUAA